rnacentral:lncRNA from 1 species
GCUUCUCUUGACAUUUUGGUUCCUUUUGUCCCAGAAGAAUCACACAUGAAUGGAGUGCAACUUUACAUCGUGCUGAUGUCUUUACCCUGUUCAUGGUCAAACAGAAGCUCAUUUGCAUUGCUGAACCAUGUGUUACAGAGAAAUGAAAACAUUUGAUGUUCUGCACUUUGAAAUCAUAACCGAAUGGUCUUUGUGAGGCAAAAGAAUGCACUGAGAACAGAACAGGAGUAAAAGAGAGUUGCAUACAUGAAAUCCUGUCUUUCAGGAAAAAAGAAGGCAUAGUAAUAAACUGGACAAAAUACAGAAGACAUCUCUCCUUUGCAGCAUUGGAAAGCAGGCUCUUACUACUGAAGAGAAGGAACAAACAUGAGAUGAACUGCAGGUCUACCCGUUGCUCUGCCUGGGAGACCUUUUCCCUCAGUGGUUCAAGAAGCUGAGGCUCAGCUGUCAUGGUGGCCUCUCUGAACUGAGAAGGGAGGGCUUGUGCAAGCCUGGCAAAGCGAUUAAAUUUGGGCAGGAAAGUAGCAGGAAAUAGCUGCAUAGAACAUCAGACCUUUAUACUUCUACCAGGCAUUCAUGAAGUUUGGGGGUUCUAGUAAGAUCCAAAGAGAGGGGUGAUUUACAAUUGCAGACAGGCCACAAAGAUUCAAUGCCAGACACAAGCGCCACUGAUUCAGAGUACACACUCAGUGGUAUCUAUGCCAUAAUACGCAUGUUGAGCAAGUACUAGGAAAAGUAUACAGUAGAAGCAAGAGAGUUAAGAAUUAAUUUAAUGUUCGUAAAUGGCAAGGGGAGGAGGGGGUGAAGGGAGGGCAGGGACAAGGGGAAUAAAUGAGAACCAAG